AGCCGGGGAGAUAGCGGUGCCCUGUACCUGCAAUCCGCUACAGCAGGGGUGAUGAUUGGUCCCGGGUUUUUGACUGUGGAGCUGCCCAAGACAAGCGAUGUUUGACGUUUUGGUCUUACGCAACGGAACUCUACGAACCAUGUCAGGUCAGGAAUGAAGCAGCAUUAAGUAGAAUCUUUCGUGUGCCGUGAGGGUGCCGAAGCUUAGUUGGCUACCUUGGUAACGUCUG
rnacentral:SRP_RNA from 1 species